rnacentral:lncRNA from 1 species
AUGCACACCCGAGAUAAAACACAACCCUGAUGCGAUAAUUUUUACUUGUUAUUGGUAAUGUGGCAGCUAAAUUAAAGUCUUGGGAAUUGGUAAUUAGCCAUCAAGAGGUGUCCAGGUGGUUAUAUUUUGAAGUUUAAUCUUUAAAAAGUGUUUUUGAUUUUUUUUUUUCAGGAUCUUUAUGUUGAUCGACCUUUGCCAUACUUAAUUGGCUCCCAACUGUUUAUGGAACAAGAUGAUGUUGGGCUUGCCGAUCCUUCCAGUGAAGAAGGUUCAGUGGAUGGUGAUCACGGAAGCCUGAUAGACAGUGAAGGAAAAGAAGAAGAGGAACUGGAAGAAUUUGGGACUAUAAGUGAUGAAGAUCAGAAACAGAGAACAGCACUAAUGAGUGAUGAAGAUGAAGAUCUUUUUGGUGACUAUGAAAAGGGGGAAGAGGAGGACGGUGACCUAGAAGAAAAUACAACAUUGAAAAGACCUACAUCGUUUACUGAUGAGCUUACAGCCCGAAUCAAAAGGGAAGAGCUAAGUAAAGAACAGAAAGAACAAUUAUGUAAGCAAUUCCACACCUUUUUUUUCUUUUGCUGCAUAAAGUAUGAUAGAAAAAGAUUUUCUAAUAUUUUAAAAUAUUUUUUAUUUUCAGUAAACUAUUAUGCUACAACCUACCUUUUAAUAUCUUUUAAUUAAUGCACAAA